rnacentral:rRNA from 1 species
CACGUAGGGUGCGAGCGUUGUCCGGAAUUAUUGGGCGUAAAGAGCUCGUAGGCGGUCCGUCACGUCGGAUGUGAAAUUCCAGGGCUCAACCCUGGACCUGCAUUCGAUACGGGCGGACUAGAGUUCGGGUAGGGGAGACUGGAAUUCCUGGUGUAGCGGUGAAAUGCGCAGAUAUCAGGAGGAACACCAGUGGCGAAGGCGGUGGUCUGGGCCGGCACGACGCUGAGGAGCGAAAGCGUGGGUAGCAAACAGG